rnacentral:lncRNA from 1 species
UUCCUCAAAGCUCAGGGCACCUUGUGCUCAUGGGAGGAUUUGAACUCAGGGUGUCUGAUUGCAGAGCUAGAACUACACUGUGUAUAUGCAGAGGAAGCAUCCAAUGAAUCAUGAGCAUUUUAUGGUGACUAUUAUUCAGCAAAUAAUGCAAAGAGCUUAACUAUCACACCAGCAUGCUACGAGGGGCUCCCUGGUGUGCUUCAAUAUUGGACCAAACACAAGACAGAUGUAUUCCUGGUGCCUGUGUAACAUUACAACUCAUUGAUCACAUGCAGCAACAUCAACAUCUCAAGGAGUCCAUUUGUUCAAAACACAGUAAAUGACUCCACAUUUUCCGUUUGAGUCAACAAA